AUGACUUUGAUCUGCGUCCUCAUCUGGACUCUCCUCUGCUGCUGCUUCACAGAGUCCAGAGGACAGGUCACAGUGACUCAGCCUGCAGCAGUGACAUCUGAUCUGGGAGGAACCGUCACCAUCACAUGUAAAACCAGUCAGAAUGUUCAUGUUUGGAGUGGUUACCAUCUGUUAGCCUGGUACCAACAGAAAGAUGGACAAACUCCUAAACUCCUCAUAUACUAUGCUAGCAGCAGAGAAUCAGGGAUUCCAGGUCGUUUUACAGGCAGUGGAUCAAACUCUGACUUCACUCUGACCAUCAGUGGAGUUCAGGCUGAAGAUGCUGCAGUUUAUUACUGUCAGAGUUAUCAUAGCGGCUAUGUGUUCACACAGUGAAAAACAGUCGUACAAAAACCUUCCUCAAUCAGACAGAACAGAAACUGAACUGACUGAUACAGUUCAGUGACCAGACACACACACACACACACACACAAAUUCAAGAACCGGUAAAUCUUAAGAAUAUUUGUUAAAAAUAUGAAUAUUUCAUGACAAUUUUAUCAACUGAAAACUAUCUUGGUGGAAACACACAUUAUAUGAUUAUAGAGUUGUGUUUUAUCUAUUUCUUCAUUAAUAUCUAUAAUGGUGUGCAGAAAGCAUCAUGGAGCAGCAUCAUGUGACAGUCAUAGAAAAAGCUUGUGACUUUGUGCUAGUAACUGUCUUAAUCGUACUGAACUUAAAAGGUAAAAAUGAUGAAAACACUGAUCAUCAUCAGUAAACUUACCAAGGAAAUAAUAAUUAAAAGUAGAUAAAACAUCCCCCAAAUUUCCAGAAUAUUACUUUAAACAACAAUGAUAUAAAACUUUCCUCUGAGUCAACUGAAACCAUUAAAAAGUAAAGAAUAAAAACCCAGUUAAUACUGUGGAGCUCAAAGUCUGUCCAGCAGAAAGAAAUGGAGCAGUUAAGCUCAGCAAGGUCUAUUUAGUGACUACAGAGUAGCUUUCAGUUGUAUCACAUGACUCUUGAUGACAUGGAGCUUCAUUUUUACCUUUGGGAUCAGAUUCUCUAAAUCUGAUGUAUUUGUUUACUUAUUCUACCAUUUUUUUUUUCAU